CCGGGAACGGGAGGCGUUGACGCGCGGCGUGCCCACUGCGGUCGCCUCGACGCCCACGAACGCCGCGCAGAGCCACUGGCGAGACCGACCCGUGGAAGG
rnacentral:ncRNA from 1 species